AUUUAAGUAGUUUAAAAAAAAUAUUAAUUUGUGGUGUUAAAGUUAUACAUGAAUUGUAUCUUAGAUU
rnacentral:tRNA from 1 species